rnacentral:misc_RNA from 1 species
AAUACAUAUUAUUCACCAUAAUUUCAAUACCAAUAACAAUAACCAUAACCUGUUCUUCUUAGUAUUUUUGAGGAUUAAAAUAUAAUUUCUUCUUCUAUUGCUACUUUUCUUUCUUGCUGCUAUUUUCUUAUCUAACACACUAUGCCCAGUAAUUGCUGCAAACUUCUCCCUUGAAAAAAUACCAGGAUUUCUUAUUGCUUUUAUUUCUUUUAAACUUGCAUUCUUGAAUUUCUUUAAUUGAAUCUGCUACCUCUAUAACAAUUCUUGUUUCUUGUAAGCUUCUGUGAGUUGAAUUCUUGGGUCAAUACAUCCACUCAUGAGGCAGGCAUAUUUCAUGAUCGCGAACACUCUCUGCGCCUAAAUUUCCCUUCUGCUGUGCCAAUGGGCCAUUUCUUUCCAUCAAAGCAUCACAAUCAGAGCCAAAAGCACCAUUAAAGCGUGGCUUGGUAUGACCAUGCUUCUUCAAGUCCUCAAGGCUCACAUCUAGAGACUGAACAACCUUGGUUGGGACCAGAACUGUGGAGCAAGCUGAUUUCUUCUUACAAGCAGAGGGAUUGGUGUAUCCGCGAGGCAAGAAAACACCAGUACCAGCACAUUCUCUUUUA